GGGAGGGGUGCAGAGGUGGCAUCAGCGCUAUGAGGGCGUGCAGGGGAAAGCUGAUGGGAGGGAAAGGGCAGGAGUUACGGCUGCCUCUGGUGCUGAACGGUGGACACUGUGAAUCAAGACCAAAUUCGUGACAAACUCACACAUUUUUAAAAGAAGCAAAUCAGCAACUGCCAAGUCCAAAGGAGCUGGCCAAAGAUAAGACCAAGGUCCCAUGAGCUAUACUGAUAAUGACAAUGGUGAUAGCAACUUUGGAAGCCAGUUAAUAUUGGAAUAUGGCAAAGCCACUAUCAGCCUGUUUCCUGAGGGAACGCAUAGAGCCGAACUUUCUCCCUGCGCCUACUCCAACAAUCUGGAAUGUCUGCCUUGGAAUAUUAUGUGAGAAAGAAAUAAACAUCUCUUGUGUUUGAACCAUUA
rnacentral:lncRNA from 10 species